CUUGCCUUGUUCCCUUUUAAAUAGGAUUGAAAUUGCUGGGUAUCUUGUUCUCACAGAGCCCUUUUUGUCAAGGGGUUUCAAAGGAUUUCACAAAUUAACUGCAUUUAGCAGGUGUGAAAAGUCCAGCGCACGGAAAAGUGAAAGACUAGCCAACAGCCGAGCCAAGAAUAGAGCCUGCUCUUGCUUUUUCCACCAGACCACUCUACCUCUCACAAACGUCACACUGCAAGGUUACUUUUCUUGCCAGGAGCUGUAAGAAGGAAUUUUUUUCCACCAAGUAAGCAACAGUGGGGCAGCAAGGGCUUUCUUAGGCCCCACACUAGCCUCCUCUUGCCCCUCCCGGAUCGCCGAUGGAGAUGUCUGGGCAUGAACUAGCGGAGCAGGGGGCCUUUGAGAUGCAGGUGAUUGUCCAAGAGUCAUCAGUGACAGAAGGAUUUACAGCUCUUUCCAGAGAUAUGUGUGCAGCAGCCGUGGUGCUUUGUCUACCAGCCAGACCAGCAGCCCAGGCAGCUGAGCCAGAGGAGCCAGGACUUCCUCAGCAGCUUCAGCAAGCCUGCUGCUUCCAGCAGCGCUGUGUAGGAAACGGUGACUGUGCUCCUUUUCUUGUCGGUUGUGAGUGCGUACUGCAUCAGAAGAAGUACAAAUGGCACCUGUCUAUUCCCAGGAAGUGGUUGAAGACUCCUGAUAAUUCAAGUAUCACAAAUAUGUUUGGGAUAAGCCACAAAAAUGCUGCUCUAAGGUCAAGACUACUGCUGGAGUGA
rnacentral:lncRNA from 1 species